AGAGUUUGAUUCUGGCUCAGGAUGAAUGCUGGCGGCGUGCCUAAUACAUGCAAGUCGAACGAGGUUACUUCGGUAACCGAGUGGCGAACGGGUGAGUAACACGUUGGUAAUCUACCUUUCAGUUGGGGAUACCCGGACGAAAGUCUGGCUAAUACCGUAAUGCGUAAUAGAGUGAAAUUCUUUAUUAUAAAAGGUCCUUCGGGAUCGCUGAUUGAUGAGCCUGCGUCUGAUUAGCUAGUUGGUGAGAUAAUAGCCCACCAAGGCGAGGAUCAGUAGCCGACCUGAGAGGGUGAUCGGCCACAAUGGAACUGAGACACGGUCCAU
rnacentral:rRNA from 1 species